GAUGAACGCUGGCGGCGUGCUUAACACAUGCAAGUCGAACGGAAAGGCUCCUGCUUGCAGGGGUACUCGAGUGGCGAACGGGUGAGUAACACGUGGGUGAUCUGCCCUGCACUUCGGGAUAAGCCUGGGAAACUGGGUCUAAUACCGGAUAGGACGAUGGUUUGGAUGCCAUUGUGGAAAGUUUUUCGGUGUGGGAUGAGCUCGCGGCCUAUCAGCUUGUUGGUGGGGUAAUGGCCUACCAAGGCGUCGACGGGUAGCCGGCCUGAGGGGGUGUACGGCCACAUUGGGACUGAGAUACGGCCCAGACGCCUACGGGAGGCAGCAGUGGGGAAUAUUGCACAAUGGGCGCAAGCCUGAUGCAGAGACGCCGCGUGGGGGAUGACGGCCUUCGGGUUGUAAACGCCUUUCGCUAGGGACGAAGCGCAAGUGACGGUACCUGGAGAAGAAGCACCGGCUAACUACGUG
rnacentral:rRNA from 1 species